UACGUAGGUGGCAAGCGUUAUCCGGAUUUACUGGGUGUAAAGGGCGUGUAGGCGGGGAAGCAAGUCAGAUGUGAAAACCACGGGCUCAACCUGUGGCCUGCAUUUGAAACUGUUUUUCUUGAGUGCUGGAGAGGCAAUCGGAAUUCCGUGUGUAGCGGUGAAAUGCGUAGAUAUACGGAGGAACGCCAGUGGCGAAGGCGGAUUGCUGGACAGUAACUGACGCUGAGGCGCGAAAGCGUGGGGAGCAAACAGG
rnacentral:rRNA from 1 species